CCGCAUCCCGGCCAUCAUGAUUGGCCACGCUACCUGGGAAGGUAAAAAAUAAUAGAAAUUAGAUGAUAAUUUGAUUGUACCAAUGGUGUUUUCCAGAAGGAGCCACUGAAAGGGAGCAGAUUAACUGCUGAACAAUCCAGGAUAGCGAGGUGCUGAUGCCAUUAAAACAGCGGUUGUGUUCUGAGGAAAGAGCCAAGCCAUUAGACUCCCAGUGACACAGCAGAACAAACACUGCUUCUUCAGGACUCCAAGAGAUGGCUUUGUCCACUCAGACCAGAGGGAAGCCCCUGCUAAAGGGAAACAUCUGGGAUGUGACUCACAGUGGGGACACGAAGACUACUGGUGGGUCAAGGGAAGCAAUGACACCAUUACCUGAAAAUGAGGUUAUGAGGUUAUGCCAUAUACCACAUCAUCAUUUAGAGAAGGAACAAGAGAACUGACACAAUGUGCUUAGCUCUGGGUUUUGCUGACUUGAGUACAGGAAGCCAAGUGAAUGGGGGGGGCAGGUUUACUGACCAUACUAUUGUCAAGCAGAUGCAAACAAAGUGGUGAGAAAAUUAACACUCAAUUCAUUUGGGAAGAGAAUCAUCAAAGCACUGGCACCCAUGAAGAUGCCAGGCUGAUGAAUGCUAAGACGGGUGCUAUAAUUUGAACCACAGGACUAUAGAAAGGAAAGCCAGGAUGGUGGGAGUCACACCCACCACAGAAUACUUUUGUUCAAGAGUUAACUAAGCUUGUGCAACACCUUCAGUGGUGAGCACAAAGAAUUUGUAACUGAUAUGUCUGUUCAGUUUUACCAUGUCAGAAAAUGUUCUUGUUGUUGUUUUUUUAAUCUUCAUAUUUCAAAGAUAUUUUUCUGGGCCUAUUUUUCAGGGAUCUCCUGAGGAACCCAACCAAUAGUAUAUACAUAGCUCUUUAAGGGAACUUACUAUGGGAAUCAGCUUAUGAGACUAAGUAGGUCAUGAAGUCCCAUAAUAUUCUAUUUGAAAGAUGCAUAACCAGGAAAGCUGGUGAUGCAAUUCUGUUGGGGAAUAUUAUUUUCAGAUGUGUUAUUUUUGUUUA